GACAACUUCCAAAGAACCACGGGGCUAGAGAAGACAAACUUGAGAUCAAGAAGAUGAUAAUCUAUGCAAUUGCAGAAGCAAUUAAAGAUUUAGAAGAACUGAUACAAUGACAGCAUUGAGUUCUACACAAAGUGGCAACUGAAGAACAAAGAAGCCAAAGUUAAUUGUUCCCUUUUUUUUCCAAUUUUUUAACAUUGUUGUUACAUUAAUUGAAGUUGUUUUGAAGGAUGUAAAUCAUCAAUUUAAUGUUUAACACAGGCGAUUUUUUUUCCCUUUCUUAUUUAGUUUGGCAUAUAAAUGAUACAUUGGGAAUUAUAUUA